AUCUUUCUCUGGAGAUUGCUCAUCUUGGUGUCUUUUUCAGUAAGCCUGGGACACAGGAGGCUGAUACAGGAGCUUCGAAACUACAAGCCUUCUCCUUUGCAUGAAGCUGGGGGAUGCAGGGACUGACAGCACAGCACAGAGCUGCCUGGGAUUUGGGUUUGCGUAUUUGGUCACCAGAGGUCACAAUAAGCCAGAGGCAAACGCUGCUCACAAUGCACAACUCACCUCUUCCCAACCCAGUUUCCCCUAUGAAUAUACUAUGAAACCAACCAGGUGCUGUGCUUAUAUGUGGCACGGUUACACAAAAGGUGGAAGUUCUUUAUUUAGCCGUUAGAGUGGCAUGUUCCUGUACACUGAUACCUUCUUGGUCCAAGAAAUUUUGCCACCCCACUCCUCAGUAGCCAUGCUAGAGCAAGCAGGGUGGAAGAAAAUGCUGACUUCUACACCUGUGCUGUAAGACAAGAGUUAUAUUAUUUCUCUCAUACUAUGGCCACUAACAGGAAGUUAUCUGAGUCUAUAUAAGGUGCCCUGAGCUAGUACCUCACCAGCCUCACAGGGGGUAGGAGCCUUGAGUCUAGAAGUUACAUGUCCUGCACCAUGCAGGAGCACUCCUUGCUGCAUCCCUUGUUGCCAUAUGUCUUGCUGUGUCUCCUUCUGCGUUACCUAGUGCGUACCUUAACCUGGAAGCUUACCUUGUGUUUAAAGAGAGGAAAUGCAGGCACCCGCCUGAUAAAGUCCAUCCCUUUGUGUGCACUCACUUUCUUUAUGGGAGUGUGUCAGGAAAAGAGGCAGACUCAGGUCUGUUAAUGAAUUACAAGAUGACUAUUGAGCUGAUAAUGUGAUGUCAAAAAAUGAGACUUCCUCUCUAGGCCCUGC
ensembl:lncRNA